GGGAGAUGGAGUCCGCGCCCGACCAGUGGCCCGGAGGUUCCUCAUCCCGGUUUUACAGUAUUGUGGAACCAAAAUUCUACACAGCACUUUAGGGGGAAAUAAGGACAUUUUCCCCCAUCCACCAUACACAUCCAGCUGGAUCUGCCCUUUCUGUUUCUAUUAGUCAUGGAGGUAAAGAGACAACAUGACCCUGUGGUUCCAAUACUGGCAUCACAAGCCUCAGCUGUGCAGCCAAGAUUGCACCUGUUUGGAGCAGAGAGCCGGUGGGAGAGCUCAAGAACCCCAGAAGCUAAGGGUCAGUAGUGAGUGGACAUCAGAGUGAGCCAAGCACCAGACAGCACCACUGAGUCCCCAGGGAACUCCGUGCACCAGGGCUCUCAACCUAAGUGAGCCUGCAUACAGGAGCUGUAGUAUCACAGCUGCUGUCUGAGAAAGAGUAAGCCCGUGGAGUGCCUCUGCCCUGUUUUGGACAACUACCUUGAUUUGUUUGGCUCCCUGCCAUGUACCAACUUGGCUAUUAUAACUGACGUUCUUCUUGGUUCCUUCUCCGUUCAGAACACACAUAACUGUGGAGGGAACCAGGCUGUUCUAUUUGCUUUGUCUUCAUACAUGCAUCAAUCGAUACAUCUCCAGCAAAACCAAAGAAGUGAUUCUCCCACUCUACUCAGCAUUUGUGAGACUGUAGCUGGAGUACUCAUCCAGUUCUGGGUGCCACACUUUAACAAGGACCUGGUAAAGCUUGAGAGAGUCCAGAGAAGGGGCACCUGCAUGCUCAGAGACUUGCACGGCAAGCCAUAUGAGGAAAGGCUGAGGGAUCUGGGACUCUUCUGCCUGAAAAAAGGAAGGAUGAGAGGGGACAUGGUAGCAGCUUACCACUACAUCAGAGGUGUACAUCAAGGGCUUGGUGAACAACUGUUCACCAGUGCACCCUUGGGGGAAAAACUAGGAGUAAUGGUCACAAACACCUGGAAGACCGCUUCAGACUCAACAUUAGGAAAAACUACUUCACAACUUGGGUGUCCAGACUGUGGAAUGAGCUCUCUCCAGAGGUGGUCCAAUCGCCUACCCUGGAAAUCUUCAAGAGGAGACUGGAUGGUCACCUUGCUGGGGUCACCUGACCCCAGUUGUCUUCCUUGCUUGGUGAAGGGUGCUGGACCCAAUGACCUUUAAGGUCCCUUCCAGCCUUACAAUCUAUGAAUCCAAGAGUUACUGGGAUUAUGUCUAGCACUCUUUUUGGGUAGGGACAGGCAUUCAAAAAGCCUGAGCCUGAAUUGAUUCAAUCUUUGCAGGUGAGUCUAACCUACCUAGGUUGAACCAGUUUGCAACUGUACAGACAUUCCCUCUUAACUGAAGAAAUGCAGGCACAUGCCUGCAGUGGCUCAGGUUAGAAGCUGGGGAGGCACUACAGCAGCUCUCUUCCCUUCCACGGUGCUGAGCUGAGGGGAUGUGUGGCCGGGCCCUGGCAGGAAGCUUUGAUUAGGUAGGAGUGUCAACCCCCAUCCUGCCUAUACCAUCCCAGGCUUUUCCCGCUCACUGCUCAAGGGGCGGGAGUGUUGCUAGCACUCCGGGGCAAAGGAGGAGUGUGAAGCGCGUGCAUUUGUUGAUGAUACUGAGCUCUACAAUAUUCCUCUCCCUGCUUCUUCAUACUGUCUGCAAACCUAAGAGGCAAGGGAGACAUCAGGGGGCUGAUAACAAAGCGUUUAUCAGCCCAUCAACAAAACACAUGCCUUUCUCAUUAGUUCAAGCUCUUCUUAAACAGCUUUUUCCAAGGAAAGAAUGGGGGGACAUUACCAGCUGAUCUGCUGAUUAGCUCAGAAAAGCCCUAAGAGGACACUGUUCUGUCUGCUUGUUCCGGUGAAAUUGGACACACACACACACCUCUCAGCCUUAGCUAGUAUACCACAUGCCUAGGGUCCAUGGGGCUGGGGUCUGUGC